CGGCGUGGAUUAGGCAUGCAAGUCGAGCGAUCCUUGCUUGAAAUUAACUGGAGUGCUUGCACAAAGGUUAAUGGAUGGCGCUGGAUAGCGGCAAACGGGUGAGUAACACGUGAGUAAUUUUCCCUAAAGUCGAACAUAGCUUCGUGAAAACGGAGGUAAUAUUCGAUAUGGUAUUUAUCACACAUGUGGUUAAUAUUAAAGGUGGGGACCUUCGGGCCUAUCACUUUAGGAUGAACUCGCGGCCUAUCAGCUAGUUGGUAGGGUAAUGGCCUACCAAGGCAUUUGACGGGUAGCCGGCCUGAGAGGGCGACCGGCCACACUGGGACUGAGACACUGCCCAGACUCCUACGGGAGGCUGCAGUCGAGAAUCUUUAGCAAUGGACGAAAGUCUGACUAAGCGACGCCGCGUGCAGGAUGAAGGUUUUCGGAUUGUAAACUGCUUUUGUCAGGAAAGAAACCCUAGAAUUUAACACAUUCUAGGCUGACGGUACCUGACGAAUAAGCCACGGCCAACUCCGUGCCAGCAGCCGCGGUAAUACGGAGGUGGCGAGCGUUACUCGGAAUUAUUGGGUGUAAAGGGCAAGUAGGCGGUCUAUUAAGUGAGAGGUGAAAUCUUCCGACUCAAUCGGAAAACUGCCUUUCAAACUACUAGACUUGAGAUUGGAAGGGGGAAAUGGAAUUAGCGGUGUAAA
rnacentral:rRNA from 1 species